rnacentral:snRNA from 1 species
AGCUUUAUGCAGUGGCAGUCUCAUAACCAAUGAAGUUAUCUGAGGUGUGAUUAUUGCUACUUGAAAAUCCGCUCCUCUCCGCC